rnacentral:lncRNA from 1 species
UUGUCUCCUUCUUUGACCCAUGUUAUCUUGGCCCUUUGUCUCCAAUAUACUUCAUCUUUUUUGUAGAUCUCGUCUAAUGAUUAUUUUAGAAGUCUUCUUUUAUUAAACUCAUCCUGUGAGAGAUGCACACCUUCUUCCUUCUUAUCAAAGAGAUUCACCUCAAGAAGCAAGGUUUCUUUCAGUUCUCUAUUAAAAUUUCUUUUAGUAGACGCCCAUUUUUUGAGAGCAUUUUGAUCUCGUUUUAGAUUUUAAACCACUGAGCUGCCGUGUUAGAUAAAUCUCUGAUCUUUCUUCAGUUAUUACUACAAUAUCAUGAAGAUCUGGCUCAUUGUUCCACCAAGCUUCAAAUCCAAAAAUUUUGGGCCUUUGAAAUCUGACUUAGCAGUCUAGCGCAAUUGGUAUAUGGUCAGAGGAAGAGCUUAACAGAGCUUUUUGGAAAGAUGUUGGGAAUAAAUCCUCCCAUUCAGUUGAGAGAAGGAAUCUAUCUAAUCUUGCUAGAGAAGGAUGUUCCCUCCAUUGCUCCAAGUAA